rnacentral:misc_RNA from 1 species
GAUGAAGAACGCAGCGAAAUGCGAUAAGUAAUGUGAAUUGCAGAAUUCAGUGAAUCAUCGAAUCUUUGAACGCACAUUGCGCCCCUUGGUAUUCCGAGGGGCAUGCCUGUUCGAGCGUCAUUAUAACCCCUCAAGCUCAGCUUGGUGUUGGGGCCUGCUGCACUGGCAGCCCUUAAAAUCAGUGGCGGCGCCAUCUGGCUCUAAGCGUAGUAAUUCUUCUCGCUAUGGAGUCCUGGUGGAUGCAUGCCAUCAACCCCCAAUUUUUCUAUGGUUGACCUCGGAUCAGGUAGGGAUACCCGCUGAACUUAAGCAUAUCAAUAAGCGGAGGA